UACGUAGGGUGCGAGCGUUAAUCGGAAUUACUGGGCGUAAAGCGUGCGCAGGCGGUUUUGUAAGCCAGAUGUGAAAUCCCCCGGGCUUAACCUGGGAAUGGCAUUUUGGGACUGCAAGGCUUGAGUGCGGCAGAGGAGACUGGAAUUCCUGGUGUAGCAGUGAAAUGCGUAGAUAUCAGGAGGAACACCGGUGGCGAAGGCGGGACUCUGGGCCGAUGACUGACGCUGGAGGAGCGAAAGCGUGGGGAGCAAACAGGA
rnacentral:rRNA from 1 species